GGUUCUAUAGUGUAGUUGGUUAUCACUUCGGAUUCUGACUCCGCAGCUGCUUCUCUCAAAUGGAGCCUGCGACAAGUUUCCGGCGACCCCGGUUCGAGUCCGGGUAGGACCU
rfam:Microdochium bolleyi strain J235TASD1 unplaced genomic scaffold Micbo1qcscaffold_31, whole genome shotgun sequence.